rnacentral:rRNA from 1 species
UACGUAGGGCGCAAGCGUUAUCCGGAAUUAUUGGGCGUAAAGAGCUCGUAGGCGGUUUGUCGCGUCUGCUGUGAAAACUGGAGGCUCAACCUCCAGCCUGCAGUGGGUACGGGCAAACUAGAGUGCGGUAGGGGAGAUUGGAAUUCCUGGUGUAGCGGUGAAAUGCGCAGAUAUCGGGAAGAACACCCGUGGCGAAGGCGGCUCUCUGGAACGCAACUGACGCUGAGACGCGAAAAGCGUGGGGAGCAAACAGGG